rnacentral:rRNA from 1 species
UACGUAGGGGGCUAGCGUUGUCCGGAAUCAUUGGGCGUAAAGCGCGUGUAGGCGGUCCGGUAAGUCAGCUGUGAAAGUCAAGGGCUCAACCCUUGAAAGCCGGUUGAUACUGUCGGGCUAGAGUCCGGAAGAGGCGAGUGGAAUUCCCGGUGUAGCGGUGAAAUGCGCAGAUAUCGGGAGGAACACCAAUGGCGAAGGCAGCUCGCUGGGACGGUACUGACGCUGAGACGCGAAAGCGUGGGGAGCAAACAGG